rnacentral:lncRNA from 1 species
UCACAAUGUAAGGCAGAAUAUAAGAAUUCUCAAGGAUACCAUCUCAUUAGAUACAAAAUCAUAUGUAUCAUAUCAUUCAAAACAUAUUUGAUUCAUAACAAAUGGAGCAUAGAGUAAUUGGAGCAUAUCAAUGGCAGAUAGGACAUUUCAAAACAUAUCAGUUCAUAGCAAAUGGAGCACAGAGUAAUUGGAGCAUAUCAAUGGCAGAUAGGACAUUUCAGAACAUAUCAGUUCAUAGCAAAUGGAGCACAGGGUAAUUGGAGCAUAUCAAUGGCAGAUAGGACAUUUCAGAACAUAUCAGUUCAUAGCAAAUGGAGCACAGAGUAAUUGGAGCAUAUCAAUGGCAGAUAUGACAUUUCAGAACAUAUCAGUUCAUAGCAAAUGGAGCACAGAGUAAUUGGAGCAUAUCAAUGGCGUAUGAAAUGUUCCGGAGCAUAUCAACGACAUAUGGAACAUUUUGAAACAUAUCAACAGUGGAUGAAACAAUUCAGAGCAUAUCAAUAACAAAUACCGUACAGAAGCUCAAACGUCGUCUUUGACGUUGCAAACAUAUCAAUCUUAUCCAAAGCAUGUAUAGAAACACAUAACUAAAGCUCUGGAUAUCAUAUCAAACAUACAAAAGGUGUAGUGGGAUCUCAGUCAGAAUGUGAUUCAUCCAUUUCUGAAUGACCACCUGACAAAAGUCUCCCACGUCUGGGAGCUCCAUCCACCCACGUCUUGGUGAAGUCAAAGGGGGCCGGUAGAGCAUCGCAGGCUCUAAGCACAUACCCUUUACCAUUUCUGGCAAAGGUCCAGAAUAACACCCUUUACCAUUUCUGGCAAAGGUCCAGACAAUCCCACAACACCAGAGUACAAGAGGGCAGUUUUAACAAUAAGUAGCACAUAUCGGAAGCACACGCGGAACAACAAAACAUACAUGUGCCUUUACGAGUCAAUACGAAGUAAGCAAUAAUCUUUCACAAUGAUAUUUGGAUUUUGAAAGGAAAUGGAAUAGGCACAUAUCGAAAGCAAAUGCGGAACAAUGGGAUACACAUGUGCCUAAAUGAGUUAAUACGAUAUAGCAUAAACGUUACACAAUAGAUUUCAAGAAUGCAAAUAACUUCAAGGACAAGAGCAUACAAGAAUUCAAAGCAGUAAUAUAAAGCUCAAUUGAAUAAGAAGGCUAAAAGAUAUCAAUUUCCAAAGGAAUGAAACCAGAAUAUGAGAAAUCGACCAAAGCUCGAUUUCUGGCAGAAUACAAGAGGCACAUUGAACAGAUGAUUCAAACUAUCAAUCGUGCUCCAAUUUACUCAGAAAUAAUCAUUGGAUUAUACUUUCAGAUAAGACAGGCUUCAUAUGAAUCGAACUGUCCAACAGUGACAGUUACAAAUAAUUUGGUAAACAAGGGUCGUAGAACAAAAUCUCUGUUGGCAGAAUUCAUAAUGUCAAAUUCAACAGAUAACUGGGCAGGUGUUUGGAUUCCAAAUCUUUCAAUCCAUAUAUCAAAAGAAAGAUCUAUGAGUCUAGUUUCCAAUGAAAUAAGCUUUGAAUAAAUCCAUGUUUGCAACAGGGACUUAUAAGCAGUUCAGUAUCAAAAGGUUAGAAAUUACGAUCCCUGUUUUACAGAAUCUGUAGGCUCAUUUGAAACAGAAGUUUGGGUAGACAAACUUACUCUGAAUUCUUAAAAUAAGCUAUCAAAACAAAGGUUUAUGAGACUAUAUUCUGAUCAAAUAAGUUUUGUCCAAAUCAGAUGUCAAUACAUGAAGUUAUAAUCAUAACAAGGUAGAAAGGUCAGAAUCUUGGAAGUUGCACAGAUUCGAAUCGUUACGUCUAAACUGGAGAUAUAUCAAGUGCAAGGCUAGAACAAUUCAAAGUUCCUCAUAUUCAAAGCAAAUGUAGAGAUAAAAUUGCAGUGAGGAAAGAUCAGGAUACUUACAAUAGGAAAGAUUAGAACAAUUACAGGAGAAACGAACAGGAAACUUGCAAUAGGAAAUAUUAGAACAAUAACAGGAGAAACGAUUGGGAAACUUGCAAUAGGAAAGAUUAGAACAAUAACAGGAGAAACGAUUGGGAAACUUGC